rnacentral:rRNA from 1 species
CCUACGGGAGGCAGCAGUGAGGAAUAUUGGUCAAUGGGCGCGAGCCUGAACCAGCCAAGUCGCGUGAGGGAGGACGGCCCUACGGGUUGUAAACCUCUUUUGCCGGGGAGCAACGGGCGUCACGUGUGGCGCCACUGAGAGUACCCGGAGAAAAAGCAUCGGCUAACUCCGUGCCAGCAGCCGCGGUAAUACGGAGGAUGCGAGCGUUAUCCGGAUUUAUUGGGUUUAAGGGGUUCGUAGGCGGAGCGUUAAGUCAGUGGUCAAAUUGAGGGGCUCAACCCCUUCCCGCCAUUGAAACUGGCGUUCUUGAGUGGAAGAGAAGUAUGCGGAAUGCGUGGUGUAGCGGUGAAAUGCAUAGAUAUCAUGCAGAACCCCGAUUGCGAAGGCAGCAUGCCGGCUUCCGACUGACGCUGAAGCACGAAAGCGUGGGGAUCGAACAGGAUUAGAUACCCCAGUAGUC